UUCUGAUGGAAGUGGAUUUCUUCCACAAAGAGAAGAUCUAACUCAGUUUCAAUUGAUCAAGGAUAGACAGAAGCAGCUACACCCAAAGAAAGAACACUAGAAAAUGAAUGUGAACUGCUUGCAUUUUUGUUUUUCUUCCUGGGUUAUAUAAAUAUAUAAAGGUAUAAACCUUCUGAAUCCAAUUCUCCCUGAGCAACAAGAGAACUGUUCGGUUCUGCACACACAUAUUGUAUCUAGGAUAUACUGUGACAUAUUUAACAUGUAUAGGACUGCUUACCAUCUGGGGGAGAAGGUGGAGGGAGGGAGGGGAAAAAUUGGAACAGAAGUGAGUGCAAGGGAUAAUGUUGUAAAAAAUUACCCUGGCAUGGGUUCUGUCAAUAAAAAGUUAUUUAAAAACAAAAGAGAGAGAGAGAAUGAAGCUGAAAUGUAGUUGAAUAUAAUCUCCUUGAUGACAAGGGGCUGUAUAAUUGGAUUGAACAUUUCUGAUCCAGAAAACAGACAUUAAAACUGUAUUGAAUAGAGAGAUAAGGUGAAGAACUUACAGGAAUGUAUGAAUUCGUUUUCUGUAUUUUAUUUUCAUUAUUUCUGUAUUUCCCCUAUGACUUGUAUAAUAUGUGCAGCCCCAUAUUUACUUAAGCCUUGGACAGCUAUAAACAUAUUUACUUAACCUGAGCUGAUGACAUUUAUCAAUAUUUAGUCUAUUAGCUUGACCACUAUCUCUUGAGUAAGCCUGAAAGCCGGAUUUUCUGUUUCCUAGAAAUCAGGAGAUUUCAGGGAAACAGAAACCUUCCAUUCCAAUCUCUCCGAAUAGCAACAACCAAUUAGAUGCCUCCCCCUCUCAUUCUCUUUUUUUUUUUUUUUGUUUCUAUAAACUUUAUUAUUAUUAUUAUUAUUAUUUUUAUUUAAUAGCCUUUUAUUUACAGGAUUGCCCUAGGCUAGAGACUAAGGGGUGAAAGUGUCACUGCCCCAGGCCGGAGCCUCUUGUGGGACUGUGAGUAUUAGCAGCUGACCGCAGACCACAGACCGCAGACCGCCCCGAACUCUGCCCCAGUGUUUCUGCCCCAGUGUCUCUGCCCAAUGCAAAUCGGCCCUGGAAAAGCUCUAUGGCCCCAAGCCGAGCUCCCCACUGCGCAGAUUGGAGGCUAACCCGGGCUGUGUCCUCCUGCUGUGCAGGAUCACAACUGCCCCAAGGAAAAGCCCCGUACUGCGGGUUGGGGCUGCGCGCUUGUGCUGAGAUCUGUGCCUUCACCCUCGGUUUGAGACUCUCCUCCGAACCUAAUUUCUCUCCCCAUCUGCGCCGACUCCCCCCUGGCCCCGGAACCAACCUUUUUUGGCGAGACUGCAGAUUUUCUUCGGCCGAUGAAGAAGGAAACCGAUGGGUGGCAAUGAGCACCUGGAGAGAGACAGAAAAAGAGAAAAAACUUGAAACAAAGAAGGCCUAAGAAACAUCUGACACCGAAAGAGCAUGGCUGAUAACGAGACUGUUGCAGGACUUGAAAACCAGCAGGAAUCAUUGGAUUCUUUGAGAUGAAAAAUGGUUCAUGAGACUAUUGCAGAAUUUCAAAACUUGCAGGAAUUAUUAGAUUCCUGGCACAUGAACUAAUGGACAAUAGGUUCCUUUUGGACUAUUUCUAGGACUUAUGGACAUGUAUAAUUCUUCAUGUUGAUUCAUGUGAUUUAUCUAAUUAUGUGUAAUACCUCCCAUAUUGAUGGAUUUAUAUAUACCUGUUUUAAGAGUGAGCCCCUUCAGAAACCCGCUACUCUGAUUUGAUUUUCCAUUUCCUUUGGUGUUUUCAUCUCCCUUCCUGAGAUGUCAGGGAGUGCAUGAUCACCUCCUUUUAUGGUGUUUUCACCCUUUUUUGAGCAGUCAGGGAAGGAGUGAUCCCCUUCUUAUUGGGGUUCUCAUCUCCUUGAGAAGUCAGGGAGGACAUGACCACCUAUGUUUUAAAAACAAAAGAAAGCUGGAGAGGUUAGGAUUCUUACCAGGUGCUAACUAAGUGGAAUUGAGGAGACAGUAGUUAAAUCUAGUUUAGCAUUGAUUUGAUCCUACAACAAAUAAUGGUUUCCUAGUGAUACAAUGAUUGGUGUAUACUCAGUGUGGGAUAUAUAAAGAGGAGCUGUCAGGGCCAGAAAGGACAAGCCCACUAGAAGCUCUUGGAGCCUCAGCCAGAAUUCAGUCAAGCAGAUACAAAAGCCAGAGAAGGCAGCUUAAACUCUCAGAACCAAGACUACAGAAGGCCUCUAAGAAAAACUAGCUGAGCCCCAAGUGAAGGAGACAAGACUUUGAAGGAGACAUAAAGGAUUUGAACUUUAACUCCUGGCUGCAUUUGAGGUUAUUAUUGAAAUGAAAAGAAACCUGUUCCCAGAGAACAUUACAUUUUAGAGAAGAAUAUUAUAGUUUUGCUUUUGAACAGCACUUCCCUUAUUUUUCCCUUCUUUUACAAUGCCUCCCCACUUUAUUAGCCCUUUACCCUUUUACUUCUGUUUUCCUUCUACUUUCUCCCACUUGUCUUUUCUCUUUCUCCGCCUAUUUCCUUAUAGGAUGAAACAGGUUUCUAUAUUAAACAAAAUAUAUCUGAUAUUCUCUUUUUGAGCCAAAUAUUUUGAGAUGAACAUUAACACAAUGUUCUUCACUCUAACUUCUUUCUUUCAACUGUAAUAGCUCUUUUUUCCUCUUAAUGUGAUGUAAUUUAGCCAAUUUCAUCACCCCUUCUUUCUUCUUCCAGUACAAUUUAUUUUCCACCCAUAGCAUUUUUAUAUCAACCCAAAGUCAAAUUAUAUCUGUACCCUACGCAUAUAUACCUAACAAAUAUAUAGUUCUCAAAUAUAUGUAUUCUUUCCAUAUAGGAAUGUAACAAUUUUAACUUUUAAAAACAUAAUUUCUAUUUCUUCUAUUUUUUACCUUCUUAUGCUUCUAUUGAGUUCUAUAUUUUAAGAUUAAAUUUUCUGUUCAGAUCUUUUCUUUUUAUCAAAAAUAAAUGAAAAUCCCCUAUGUUAUUUAAUGUCCAUCAUUUCCCCUGAAUGAUAUUUCUUAAUUUUGCUGGACAGUUGAUUUUUCACUUCAAUCUGAGUUUCUUUGGCUCCCAAGUUAUCAUAUCCCAUGCUCUUCAAUUCUCUAAAAUGGAAUUUGCUAGGUACUGGGUAAUCCUUAUUGUGACUCUUCAAUAUUUGAAUGAUUUCCUUCUGACUAACUGAAGCAUUUUCUCCUUGAUUUGAUAAUUUUUUAAUUUAACUAUAAUAUUCCUUUGAGUUUUCAUUUUGGAUUCUCUUUCAGAAAGUGAUUGUUAAAUUCUUUCAAUGACUAUUUUACUUCCUUUUUCUGGGACAUUAGGGCAAUUUUCUUAAUGAAUUCUUGAAUUAUGUUAUCUAGGACUUUUUUUUUCCAUUGUGACUUUCAUGGAGUCUAAUAACUCUUAGAUUGUCUCUCUUAGAACUAUUUUUCAGGUCAGUUGUUAUUUUACAUUUUCUUCUAUUUUUUCAUUUUUUAAAAAUUUUGUUUGACUGGUUCUUAAUGUCUCAUUGAGUCAUUUGCUUCCAUUUCUUUAAUUCUAAUUUUUCGUGAAUUAUUUUCUUUCAGUUAGCUUUUUUAUCUCUUUUGCAUUUGCCCAAUUGAACUUUUAAAUAAAUUGUUUUGUUCAUUGCAUUUUUCCAUUUUAGAGAUUCUGUUUUUCAAGGAGUUGAUUUCAUUUCCCAUUUUACCAAAACUAUUCUUUAAAGAGCAAUUUUCUUCAGAUAAUUUCUGUGUUUCCUUUUCCAUUUCUAUCAUUUCCUUUCCCCAUUUUUCUUUUAACUCUCUUUUUAGAUCCUUUUCGAAUUCUUCCAAGAGAGCCUUGUGAGAUGGAGACCAAUUUAUAUCACUCUCUGAGGCCUCAUCUGGAAAUGUUUUGUUUUUAGUGUCCUCAGGGGUUGAGAUCUGUUAUUUUAUGUCUCCAUAAAAGCUAUCUAUAAACAGUGCUCUUUUUGUUAUUUUGCUCAUUUUUAAAAGUCUGCUCUUAAGUAGAAGGUGAGAUUGUCCCAAACUUCUCUACAGUCAACAGUGGCUUCAUGCUUCCCUGAGAUUGGGGCUGCUGGGUUCCUUCCUGUAUUGUGCUGACAGACACAAGCCUUGUGUUAUCCUUGGCUUUGGGGGUUCACUAUUUGCCUUUUGUAAUUUUGUUUGAUGUCUUACAGUUAAUCUGCAGGUCUACUGUUUUCUGAACCAGGACAGAGUAGCCUAUAUUGCUAUAUUUUGGAUAAGAACCUCUCGGUAGAUUUACCAGUCACUUAGGUGUCACUCUGCUAUGGGUCCCUACAUUGCACCUGCACUCGACCCCCUUCCCACUGUGAUCAAUUGAAACAGACCUUUUAUGAAGUUAUUCCAAAAUAUCUUCUGCUGGAAAUUUGUUAUAUUCCAAAUAUUUGGGGAUUCUGUCAUUCCCAAACCCAUUCUGAGACUUGAUGUGAAGAAAGCCAGGAAUAGCUCAAACACAGACCUUUCUACUCUCUGCCAUCUUAGCUCUGCCAAUCUAAUUUAUUUUGAAUAAAAAAUCUUUCAAAUUACUGAGACACUGCCAAAAAAAACCCCAAAAUUAUAUGGUUACAACUUGAGGUAAUAGUCAUUCUUGUUAUAUUAUCUUUUGUUGGAUUUGAUAGUGUAGCUCUUUCAAUAAUCUUAUAAAAGAGGAGUUUAUAUACCAAUAAUUUUAUUCACUUUUUAAAAGCAGCUAUUAAGUCAAUAACUCUAAUAAUCUGUGUUAAAUUAUUCACAAAAUAAUUAGAGUUGUGUAGUGACCAGUCCUGGAAAGACUUCAUUCUAAAUUCUUUUGAAAAGUGAAUGUUAUCAACAAGGAAAACUGCAACUGUUUCAUUUCGAUCUUUGUAGAUUUAGCAGGUAGCAGGUUGUCUAGCACUUAUUAGGUACUUAAUAAAUGUGGAUUUUUAUUUCAAAUUAUAAUAUUAAUGACUAUGAUCAUAAUCAUUGUAACAUACAAUGGAUAUUGCUUUAAUGCUUUCAAAAUACUUUCCAUGAAUUACCUUUGAGAUAGCAUGGUAUAGGAGAUAUACUAAAUUUGGAGUCAGGAAGGUUUAAGACAUAAAUUAGUUGUAUGAGAAAGUCUUGACACAAGCUUCCUAUCUUCAAAUAAAAAGGAUGGGAUCAUUGUUCCAUAAGGUCACUUCCAGUUCAAAAUAUAUGAUUCUUUGUUGUCAACUGAUACCCAUAGAAAUGCUAUGAGGAAGAUCCUGUAUUCAUCAUUCUUAGCAUAAAGAUGAAGAAAAUGAAACUCUAAGAGACUAAAUGAUUUUCCCAGGAUAACAAAGUAAGCAUAUGUUUCAAACAAGUUUCAAACCCAGACAUUCUUGAGUCUAGAUCUAGAACUCACUGAAUAAGCAAACAACCACUUCAGUAAACUUACAAAUGGAAGAGGAUUUGAAAAAAGUUAGAAUGUAUGGUCAUGGUUGGGAAAGCAAUAUGUUCCAAGAUGAAUAAUUUCUUAUAUCUUAAAUAAAUAGUCCUUAAGAAAUUGUUUACAUAUCUAAUGUGACAGGAAAUUUACUACUUCAGAGGAGUCCCUUGUAGUUCUAGACAAUUCUCUUAAAAAACCCUUUCUUAUAUUAAGGUGAAAUCUGUCCUCCUACCUUCUCCCAAUUGAAUAUAGACUCUGGAGAAUAUAGUUUCAUUUUGGAGACAGACAAACACACAGACACACACACAUAAUGAACACAUUAAAAAUGACAAGAUUCAAAUGAGUUUUUUUUUUUAACUUUAUUUCUUCCAGUAUGUAGCAAAAAGUUUAAGGCUCCAUAGUGUACAUUUAUCAACUUUCUGAAAUAUUGCCGUUACCAGGGAAAUUUGAAGAGAUAUUAUAUGUAUUCAUUUCACCAUAAACCCAUUAACCAGGAUGAUGUAUUUAUGACUAAUUGGUUGGUUAUAUCAGAAUAAUUUCUUAAAGCAAAAGCAUUCAUGUGACAGUAAAUAUUUUUAUUAUGAAAACAUGAGACAUAAGUUCUAUUACAAAUAUUGUCUUUACUUGCCCACACUUGACUCACUUAUGGUGUCAGUGAUGCUAAGCUUUUCUCCAUUCAUCAACUUCUCUUUUUCACAGAACUGUUGCCUCAAUUUUUAACCACAUAUUAUGGUCCCAUAACUUUUAGUCAUUGUAAGAAAACAUGGGCUUUGCUUUUGUUAUGUAAAGUUCAUUUAUGUCUUUCUCCUAUUGCUCCUUUCCCCAAAGACUGAAACUGCCUCUACCUUGAAGUCAUCAAAUUACUAUGUCGAAUUUCCUUUAAAGGUCACUUCUAAAUCUAAUGUAAACAGACAUUGAGUGAAAUAAGUAGAACCAGAAUAUUGUAUAUACUAGCAAUGACAUUGCACAAUGAUCAGCCUAUCAAAGACUUAGUUCUUUUCAGCAAUGCAGUGAUCCUAGGCAAUUUCAAAAGACUCAUAAUGGAAAAUACUAUCCACAUUGAGAAAUAUGGAAUUUGAAUGAAAAUCAAAGCAUAUUAUUUUUAUUUUUUAUUUCUCAUGUUUUUUUUUUCCCUUUUGUUCUGAUUCUUCAUUCACAACAUGACUAAUGUGAAAAAUGUGUUUAAUAUGACUGCAUGCAUUACCUAUACCUCUUGUACUGGGGAAAGGGAAGGGAAUGGAAUGAGGAAGAAAAAUUUAGAACUUAGAAUCCUACAAAAUUAAUUUUGAAAAUUAUCUUAACAUGCAAUUGGAAAAGUAUUAUUAAAAGUGUCUUUAAAAAAUUCAAAUAUUAUAUCCCGACUAAAGCAUUCUUGAUUUUCCCAGAUGCUAGUACCUAUAUCAAAGUACCUUAGAUUUGUUCUGUAUAUAAUUAAUUAUAGCAAUGUAUUUCUCCCCAAGGAUAAUUUAAAUUUCUCAGGAGAAAAAUUAUUCCCUUUUUAUCCUCAGGAUCUAAGAAACUUGACAUGCAAUAGAUGCAUAAUAGAUAUUUGUUAAUGUAUUGAUCCAGAUAAUAUGGCUUUAAAAUUUGAAGGAAUCCUGAAGCUUAUUUAGCCCAAAACAUUCAUUUUAAUGAUGAGAAAACUGAGGCUCAGAGAAAUGAUAUUGCAUUUGAUCAAAAGUCUAAGAUGACACAUAAAAUAAUUGCAGAACCAAAAUAGAACCCCAAGUUUUAGACAUCAAGUUUUGUUAUGAUUCAAGAAUUUUAGUCAUGUCCAAAUCUGUAUGAUGCCAUUUUUUAGAUUUUUUUGGCAAAGAUAAUGGCGUGAUUUGCCAUUUCCUUCUUUAGUCUAUUUUCCAGAUGAGAAAACAAAGGUUCAGUGACUUGGCUUCUGUCACCUGGUAAGUGUGUAUGGUCAAAUUUGAACUCAAGUUUUUCCUCCAGGUCUGAUGGUCUUUCCAUUAUAACACCUAGUUGUCCUUUUUAUUGUCUCCCUUUAUAUUGCAAUCCACAUUCAUGUUUAUUCUCUUUACAUGUCUAUAGACCGUAUUUUCAAUGCUAUCCAUUUUCCAUUAAAUUACAUAUUUUUUUCUUGAGGUUUUUGUUGUUAUAGCUGAGUGCUUAUUAUUUCAACUAAACUUUAAGGUCUGUGAAAACUGGGAUUGUGUCUUUUUUUCUUUCUUUUCCAUCUUUAAUAACAUCAGACUCAGCAUGAUCUACAUCUUUAAAGUACAAUAAAGCAUGUUGUACAUGGCAAGAUUUAGAAGCAUCUAGGCAGCGCUAUGGAUAGAGUGCUAGAUCCAGAGUCAGGAAGACCUAAGUUCAAAUUCAACCUCAAAUGUUUAUUAGCAAUGUGAAGUUGCAUAUAAUCUUUAUAAGCCUCAAUUUCAUCAGUUAUGACAUGAAACUAACAAUAACACAUACCUUUAAGAGUUCUUGUAAAAAUUAAAUGAGUUAAUAUUUGUAAAGUGCUUAGCAUAGUGCCUGGAAUAUAUUCAAUGCCAUAAAUGCUCAUUCUUUUCCCUCCUUUCUUUUUCUCUUCCCUCCCUGUUCCCACCUCCCUUUCUUUUCCUUUUUCCUUCCUCUUUCUUCUUUCCUUCUCCUAAUCCUUUUCCUUCCUCCUUUUCCAAGUGGAAUGAAGUGUUAAUGUUUUUAUCAUCAAUUGAGGUGUCUCACUGAGGCAGAAAAAUGUCCACAACAUUGAUUGGAGGCAAUUGUUUGAGAUUAGGCAGCAGGGGAAAGUGAUUGAGGAAUUUAUUCCAAUCUGCUUCUAUUUCAAUUGGCAAUACAACCUAGAUAGAUGCUAAAAUCUACUUUUUUUUUCCUUUUCUGAUAAAAAUGUCAGCAAGUGAUGUUUUCAUCUAAAUUCUGUAUCUUUUAAAUGGUGAAGCUUGAUUCAAAGACCUUGUCACCUCCCCCUUAUUAUACAUAAUGGCACAUUCCUGGGCUCAUUCCAAAUAAUUUAUAAAUAUUUGUUGAUUUCAUUUGAAAGUGGUUCUGUGUCAGUUCUACUUUUUACAAAGAGGUCUGCCAACUAUCCCUACUUUCAGCCCCAUGAAGAGUGGACAUUAUGUCUAUUUCCCCAGGAAUUGUUUUAAUGAGUGCCUAGGAGAGCAAAAUGUUUGAUGGUCUUGUCAGAAACUUCCUGCAUAUUUUAUACAGUUUGGGAAAUGAAGAGUAAUGAAUGCUAUAGUUGAGAACUGAGUUUCAAUAACGGGCAUUUUAAGCCCAGGGACUAGAUUAACAAGAGUUCGGUAUGGUACUGAUCAAGUUCACUGCCCCCACUCCUCCUUUUAGAAAGAAAAUUAUUCCAAAUCACCAGCUCUACCUUUGUUUCUUGCCAAUAGUCCUCCUCCUCACAAGUAUCCGGAUCAUACAAACAGCCAAAAGCAAGGAAGAAAUCAGUUACUCAACCUGAUAUGAACUAAUGAAGGUCUUGGGCUAUGGAAUUUGAGUGUUUGUUUUCUCACUGUCAUUUUGUGUUUAUCAGGCACAGAUUAGUUUCAUAUGUAUAGCACUUUUUUUGUCUUUGCUCUUGGCUUUCUCACCCUCUCCUUAACUUUAUUUGCAAAUCUCAUAUUAGAACAAACUUUUGCAAGAAAUGUUGUCUAAAUUUGUGGGGUUUGAUUAUACUAGAGAAAUUCAGCAUUGAAAAAUCUGUGCUGCUAGAGUGCUGCUUAUGAAGUCCAAAGGCUUUGUGUGUAUGCAUACAUGCAUACAUAUACCCAUACACAUAUAACAUAUGUAUGAAUGUAUAUUUCCUGUGCGUGUGUAUAUGUAUACAUAUAUCUAAAUAUAUGUAUAUGCACAUUUGUGUGUACAUUUAUGGGUAUGUUGUACAUGGGGCAGCUAUGUGGCACAGUAGAUAGAAUGCCAAUAUUGGAGUCAAGAAGAUUUGAAGCCCUAAAUCUUCUAGAAGCCUUAAAUCUGGGCUCAGAAAUUUACUGGUUGUGUGAUCUACUACAAAUCACUUAAUCCAGUUUGCCUCAGUUUCCUCAUCUGUAAAAUGACUGGAGAAGAAAACAGCAUACAACUCUAAUGUUUCUGCCAAGGAAAGCCUAAAUCUAGAAGAAUCAGCCAUGAUUGAAAAAUGAUUCAACAACAACAACACUAUUGUUCAUGUGUGUAGCACUACUAAACUAAGAGGAAAUAUCCAGAGGGAAGGCACAAUCCAAGUCAAGAACUUUCUGAUGCCUCCAUAAUGAAUGUACAUGGACACUACAGAACCUUACCACAUUUUCAGCAAAUUGACCUGUCUGAGAAGAUAACAUAGUGGAAUGGAGAACAGACAAGGGAGAGGAUUUAGGAUUGUUAAUAUUUCUUUGGAGAUAGUGCCUUACUUAAUCUCUUGGGCACAAGAAUAACAAUAUAAUAUGUGCACACACCCAUACCCACACCCACACACAUCAUAUUAUUUUUUGUAAUUUUUUUUUGUCAAAAGGAAAGGUCAGAGCAUAUUAGGGAAAGCAUUUUAUAUCAUUGUAAAAUUGUUCAUACUUAUUUUCAUGUCUAGGCCAGUGUUUGUUGAAGGAAAAGUAAACAUUUCCUCUAGAAUUAUGUAUUUUAAAACAAAAUCAUUGCCUAAGGGCCCUGUAUAUUCUUUCCCUGAACAUGACUGGUUUCUUAAGAUAUUCAACUCCUAAGCAACAUUUUUUUGUUUCUUUUCUGUUUGUUUUUAAUAAUGCAGGGUAGCUGAGCAUUCUAAAGAGCCUAAUUUCUUAAUAAAUACUAAAUAUUAGAUGGAAAUUGAUGAACCAUUUAAUUCAUCAAACUGAGAAUGGGGGAACAACAAUUCCUUGUUAAGUUUCUAGAAGUCUUUCUUGGAAAACCAAAUGAACUUUCUGGAGGCAGAAGACCCAAAUUUUAUUUCUGCUUAAGAGGAGCUAAUGUUUACAUAGCACUUGAAAGAUUACAAAUGGCUUUACAUUGAUUAUCUCUUGGGAUCCACACACUAAAAACACAACUGCAAUGCAAUUGUUAUCUCCAUUUUAGAAAUGUGGAAAUUCUGACAGAAAGUUAAAUGUAUUGUUUUCCUAGAGUAAAGCACUGGUCAAUGUUUAACCUAGAAAUGGAAUGAUGAUCAUUCUAACUGAAGGUCCAAAUUGCAUCAAUUAUCCUCCAAUCCUUCCAAAAAAUUUGGUUUUGUUAUCUUUUGUCACUAGAAUAUAAUUUUACUUCUCUGGAUUGUACUUUCUUUAUCUGAAAAAUGAAGUCUUACUACUAGUUAAUUUCCACGAUCUGUUACCACAGUAAGUCUGUGAUCAUGCAAUGAUGAUAUCUACAUAGAAAAUGUAAAUUAGGUUAAUUUAAAUUAGAAAGUAGGAAAUAAACAAUCAUUAGGCACCUAAUAAAUACUUGUUAUUUUGUGACAUGAUUUAAAAGUAUUUGAUUUGGUCUUCUAGAUGUGUGGUAUAAAGACCAUUGGCUCAAAUAAAUCAAGGAGAUAUCUCAAGAUUGAAUCGGAAAGGAAUUUUAUUAUAAUAACGCAAGAAAGGAAGGAAUUUUAUUACAACAAUGCAAGAAAGGCUGUCUCCUUCCCAACAAGCAAUCAGACAAGGAGAGGCAAGAUACAGAAAACAGACAAUGAUUAUACACAAAUCUUGAGUAGCAUUCCCCAAAGGCUGGACUUCCAUUCUGAUUAUUUGGAACAAAAGACAUCACACUCUAGGUCAUAAAUAGAAUUUUUAAACCCAACCAUAUCUUUAGGAUUGCUAAAUGACCUUAUAUGGGAAUUUUAAUGCCAAGGUGGCCAUAAUUCAAUUUCACAAUAGCAGAGGAAAAGGGGAUUUGGAGUUCUGGUUUCUCAUAAAUCAGAUGAUUUCUGGUAAAUAAAACUGAGGCCUAGGGAUUACUUUGUCUGAGAAAUCUUCACCUAUAACACUUAAUCCCUCCUCUUCUAUCUAAUGAUUUAUCACAACAUUGCUUAUAUAGUUCAUUUGCUUAUUCAUUAUCAGUUUUCUCCUUGUCAAAAUUGGGUUCUUCUACACUAACAGUUGUCCUCACGAAUUUUGCCUAGAUACUAACUUCUAGCAGUAAUAAUUCGGGGUCAAAUUCUAUUUCAUAUGGUGGAUAACUGGCUUGAUGAUUCAUCAGACAAUCAUACUUGAAUUUAAAACUUCAAAUAAUAUCAGCUACAAUCCCAAGAACUUUUAUCUCAAAAUGCAAAUCUCAUUAAUCAAAACUUCAGGUGAAUUUAGUUCUCAAGGAUCACAUAUUUUAAAUAGGAAUUGACUAUGACUUUACAUUGAUAAUAUUAAGAGAUUCAUCUUAUUCAUCAAUUUAAUAAUCUGUUCCUUAAAAAACUUGAUUCACUCUUUUCACUUUCCUAGAUGCAUUUAAUUUGCAGCCCCCUUCCCUUAUUUCUUAUAAAACCUUAGAAGUAAAGUAUGUUCCAUUAUCAGAAUCAGUAGUCCCUAGCAAUCCAUAACUAGGUAUAAUUUAUUCCAAUGUUAUACUUCGAACUUUUCAAAGUAGCAGAGCUCAGGGGAAAGCUUCCACCAGUCCUAUCAAAUGGCCCAUUAUAACCAAUAAAUAUCUCAGUUUUUCUACUUCAAUAAAGUCUAAGUGGAAUAUUCUGGAGCCAGGCUCCCUCCCUCUGGGACACCUCCUCAAUGCCUUCUCAUUUGUCUUUAACCCUAUUACAUAUCUUUCAGAUAUUUGUUUUACAGUUGCACCUAUUGCUGUAUGGCCAGAUUUUCUUACUUGAGCACCCAAUGGCUUCCUUAAUACAAUACAGUUAAAAUCUCCCCAGUCAUGACCUUAUUGAGCAUUCUCCUCCCAUAAGGCAAUUGCCAAUAUCUUUCAGGGGGUUUUAUUGCUUCAGUAUCUUCCAAUCUUUUCCCUUUAUCUUUAGAACAUAUUGAAGUUGCUGCUAUUUUAGAUGAAGUAGGAUAAGGACAAACAUUUGUUUUCCCACUCCUCUCUUUACAAAGCCACUUCCUUUAAACAUUUUCCUCAUCAGUUAAACAUUUCCCCACUACCUCAGGGGAUAUCCCUUCUGAUGCUCUCUAACAUAUCACUAAAUUGUUUAUUCCCUCAAGGUCUUGUAUUAAUACAAGUCUCAUCUGAUUUUUUUAAGGGCAAAAUAGGGAUAUUUAAAGGGUACAUACACAGCAUUAAUAGUUCAUCCUUCACAAGUCCCUUUGUUACUGAUCACAAUUUUAUUUUUCCCUCUAAUGAUAUGGAAUAUUGUUUAACACACACAUCAUAUUCUUUGGAUUUUCAGAUCGAUUUUAGAUGGGGAAUUUUUAAACUUCUCCUAUCUCUGCCACUCAUAUUUUACCAAAAGAGGGUGCAUUUUAAAUACUACAUAAUGUUUCAACACUUUUAAUUCCAAUACCAAUUGUAUAAUUCAAUCUCUGCUUAACAAAUUUUUUUCUCCAUUUCUGGGAUUUACAUAUUUCCUUUAAUUUUUCCCAUAUGCAGGAGUGACUUCUAUAUAGGUAUACAGAAAUCUGUUCCUUUAUCCCUGUCCAUUAACAUUUCCUUAAAUUUCUGACUAAUUUACCAAUUGAGGAUCUCUCCAUUCCAUUAACUAUUAAAUCUUCUUUUUACUCUUGCUCUAUGGACACAGAAAUUAUGAAUUGUAGUUUUAAUAUAAUGAACAAUCAUAGAAUUUUCAUAAGUAAUUGCCAAAUACUCUGUCAUAAUUUCCUCUUAACUAAGCAAAGGUGGAAAUAGCCAGUCUCCUAAAUUAUAUUUACUGAGUUAGCAAGACUCAUAAUAACAACAGAUUUCUAAAUACAUUUUCCACCUCCUGGUUUUUUCUCUUUUUUUUUUAGUUUAUAUUCCAAUAACAUUCAGGGUACUAGAUAACAAACCAAAUCUGGGUUCUACAACCUCAGAAGGAAAUCAUAACUAAAUCUACUUAGGUAGAACAGAACCAAUCUGUAUCACAAUCAAUUAAGUUUCCAAUUUUAACCCAUAUGCCAAUUUUGAAUUAUUUUAAAAUUAACCAGUACUUUAAUUUGUAAGAUUCUGUAAAAUCUACAUAAAUGUUCCAUUCAAGCAGAAUUGCCUUUUAGUUGUUUUACUGAUUCCCACUUCUUUUUGUAAGCCAGGAAAGAGUUAAACACCAAUACUGGCUUAAUAUGGGUUUUAAUUUGAGAUUCUUCCUGGCAGGAUUCCACAAGCUUGAGUUUUGAUAACAACGAGUUUUUAAAGUGGUAGCACACAGCUUUUCCAUUUCCCAAAAGUUCCCAAACACUGUAAUCCCUUUCACUCUACUGUCUUUUCAUUCCUACAUACUUAAACAGUCUCACUCACCAUUCUAUAUACAUAUAGCUCCUUUCUUUCUGACUCUGCCUAUCCUCUUCUUCUGUUUUUACCAUCUUCUCUGUAUUAGAUAUAUUUUCCUUUUCUCUCCUCCUUUUCUGCAAAGCUGUUGUAAUCAGCCAGACUCAGAGGGGGAGAAAAAGAAAUAUAUUAGUUUUCCUUGCCAGCAACAUGGAGGCUGUAUUCUUAUCUUUCAUAAAGUUGUUAACUUUUAAUACAGAACACAGAGUGCAAAGCAGACAUCCAUAGACAGACACACAAAGAAAUCUCCUAUUCCAGCUUUUGCAUACAGAUUUAAGUCUGACAUACUCAAUUGUCCCUCCCUCAUACAGAGCUACAAUAUUUUAUCAUUUUUUGACUUUUUCCUCUGUCUUUUGGUAAAUAAUUCUAAUUGCUUAAUUUUUUUUCCUAAGGGACUAUCUACCAGUAUCUCUUUAUUUUUAGUCUUUGCGGGGGGUAGCUAGGACUGAGUUGUGCCCAUUCUAAUUUGGACACAACUCUAAGUUCUACACACCCAAUUAUGGCAAGGUCGUCCCUAUUCCUCAGUCCCCCAAAAAGUUAUUCCAUCCAGAGCACCCCUCCAACAUCUGUAAUCCUCAACUUAAGGGACUCAUAGGUCCUACAUGUAAGUUGUAUGCACACAAGUUGCCUGACUGCUACAUCCUCACUGCCUGGUUGAAAUUUUUGCUGUACCACUCCUCACUUUCUCUCUGCUUUGGGUCACUUUACCUUGACGACCAAGGAGAAGCCCCCAAUGUUUGCAGGCUGCCUGAAAAAGGGUAGGUUGUCAAAACAAAAGUGGAGGGAAUGUUCUUACAUGAUUUUUUGCUUGCAGAUGAUUGUGCAUCCAAUGCAUUCUCUAAAACUGAGAUGCAACAAUAUAUCGAUUAAAUUUUUUGCUGCUUGUGCUAAUUUUGGCCUAACAAUUAAAACCAGGAAAACACAGGGAUCUAUCAGUCAGCACUACAUCAUCCAUAUAUGAAACUAUUGGCUACAGUAAAUGGAGAAGUUUUGAAUGUUGUAGAUAAAUUCACUUACCUUGGCAUAUUCUUUCCAGGGUUGUAUUUACUGAUAAUGAGAUUGAUACAUGCAUAGCCAGAGCUCCUUUAGUGUUUAGGAGGCUUUGCAUGAAAAUGUGGGAGAGGAUAGCUAUUAGACUAAGUAUCAAACUGAAGAUUGUACUGACCUCAAUAUUGCAUGCCUGUGAAACCUGGAUAGUCUACCAAUGCCAUGCCAGGAAACUGAAUCACUUUCAUUGAAUUUUGCCUUAGCAAGAUUCUAAAGAUCACCUGGCAGGAUACAAUACGAGACACUGAGAUCCUUUCUCAAACUAAACUACCAAGCAUUUAAACACUAUUGCAGAAAACACAAUUUUAUUGAGCUGACCACUUUGCUUAAAUGCCAAAUGUAUGCUUGCCAAAAAAGACUAUCAAAUAGUUUCUAGCAUACUUUAGUAUCAAAUAUAAGCACUAGGAUUAUAUACUGUGUAUUACACAAUAUAAUCCUGUGUAUUAUAUUAAUAUGAACAUUGAUUUGUAUAAGAGUCACAAAGUAGACAUUUAGUACGUGUUUUAAUGAAAUUGGUUGUUCUCCAUGUAUGACACUCUUUGCAUUUUCUAUGAAUUUCUCUCAUGUCUAAAAAUGUUCCCUCUCCAUUUCUACCUAAUACAUUCUCUAUUUUUCUCAAGUUACCCAAAUUUUCACAUCUUCUAUCAGAUAUCUUUCCCAAUAUCACUGAAUUGUGGUAUUUUUUUCUUUUUAACUAUUUCCUAGUUAUCCUACGUCUAGUUAGUUUGUACAUAUUCAUUUGUUUGUUGUCUCCCCGAUUUCAUUAUGAGUUCCUUGAGGGAAGGAACUAUCUUGAUCCUCUUUUAUUAUAUGUAGCAUUUAGCACAAUGCCUGGCAUAUGAUAGUCAUUUGUAAUAGCUGCUCAAUAAAUAUUUCUUCACUAAUAUUGAUUUUAGCAUUUAUUCAAUAAUUGAAAAACAUUUCCAAGAAAAUGUUUGUGUGUGCAGCAAGCUUCCAUCCCAGAAAAAAAGUCAAGAAUCUCUGAUCUAGGUAUAGAAGGAACUUCAGAAGCCAUGUUUUCAUGGCUUUAUUCAUUUUGAAAAUGAGACAAUUAAGGUCUAGGGAGGUUACAUUGAGUGACAAAUAUCAGAGGCAAUGUGUUAAAGGUGAAAUCUGGCAUUAUGCCCUCUGAUUUCAGAGAAUUUAAGAGAACAAUGCUGAAUAAACACACAGAGUAUAAGUAAAUUAAUAGAGAUGAUCCUAAAAUCAGAAAGGACAAUCAGUUUUGAAAACCUCAAAAUUAAUACAAAGUUGCAUUAAGAAGUUAUAUGAGACAAGAAAAUUCAAAUUAAUAUGUGUUAAAAUAAGUAUUCUUUUUUUUAUUUAUUUAAUAGCCUUUUAUUUACAGGAUAUAUACAUGGGUAACUUUACAGCAUUAACAAUUGCCAAACCUCUUGUUCCAAUUUUUCACCUCUUACCCCCCCACCCCCUCCCCUAGAUGGCAGGAUGACCAGUAGAUGUUAAAUAUAUUAAAAUAUAAAUUAGAUACACAAUAAGUAUACAUGACCAAAACGUUAUUUUGCUGUACAAAAAGAAUCAGACUCUGAAAUAUUGUACAAUUAGCUUGUGAAGAAAAUCAAAAAUGCAGGUGUGCAUAAAUAUAGGGAUUGGGAAUUCAAUGUAAUGGUUUUUAGUCAUCUCCCAGAGUUCUUUUUCUGGGCAUAGCUAGUUCAGUUCAUUACUGCUCCAUUAGAAAUGAUUUGGUUGAUCUCGUUGCUGAGGAUGGCCUGGUCCAUCAGAACUGGUCAUCAUAUAGUAUUGUUGUUGAAGUAUAUAAUGAUCUCCUGGUCCUGCACAUUUCAUUCAGCAUCAGAUCGUGUAAGUCUCUCCAGGCCUUUCUGAAAUUAUCCUGUUGGUCAUUUCUUACAGAAC
rnacentral:lncRNA from 1 species